rnacentral:lncRNA from 10 species
CGUGGCCAUACCACCUGUAGGGGAUUUUCUUACGAAAUCUAAGCUGUGGGAAAUGGGAAAUUGCGUAAAAAUCUGGGUUGGGUGAUUUAAAAAAAAAGCAGGGGCUGGGCAUAGGCAGUAAUAUAAGGCAAGAUGGCUAAGGAAGAAGGUGGGCAGCGGAGCCGGUGAAGGAAGCCGCAGGCGCGGAUGGAGGCGAAGAGAUCAGGAGCAGUAAAGGAACACUCUCUUCCCCAGUCAGCUGGGAUACGGAUUUUGUAAGGCCUAGGGACUUUGUCUUUGGAGGUCCUGUCUCCAUAAGGCUUCCCAAAACAAAGAAUGUUCAGAUUGGACUGGCCUUAAAAUGCAGUAUUUAAAACAGCAACAUGUCUGACAGAUCCGAGAAAUGAAAUACGUCCAUUUCUUUUGGCAAGGAGCAGAAGGCAACAUAAAGCAGCUGCAAGAAUUAAUUCAUGGAGAUAGUUGACAUUUUCGAGCUGACUGCCUCUUAGAGAAAAUGAUGUCAUUCUCCAGCAGCCUAAUGACAGUCAUCAGCCUGAGAGGACACAUGCUAAUAAGACUAUCACCAGCAAAGAAUUUUCUGAGCAAAUGUGUACUGGAGACCUUCUGAGGAACCCACUAGAGCCUGCACAUCCCCUUUUCCUAGCAAGGUCAACUGGAAAACAGGUCUUACUGCCUAUUAGAGCAAAGGAAGAGGAAAUCUUUGGCUAACCGGUCAGAGAAAACAACUGGAUUAAACAAGAUACUCUUCAUGACUGUGGUUGCAAAAAUGCAACACAACUUUUAAAAAUCUUAGUACUAAUUUUUAAAAAUGGCUUUUAAUUUGGGGGAGACUCGAUAACAGAACCCGAAAAUCUGAUGAAUUGUAUGAACAUUUUGUUCAGAAAAAUAAACAUAUAUUACCAGAAAAUUUCAUAUGUGAUUCAAGAAGUCCACAGAAGUUCCAUGUUAGUAAAAUUGAGGAACAAUGGUGACACCCUAAUGAUAGGGCAACAUGGUUCUGCUUUAGUAAGUCUGAGAGCUGCAGCUGUGAAAAGGGUCCUGACUCCAUUCAGAUGCAGUCUCAUUCUAUUGCCAGGCUGGAGUGCAGUGGUGCGAUCUGCAACCUCCGCCUCCCGGGUUCAAGCGAUUCUCCCGCCUCAGCCUCCCAAGUAGCUGGGACGACAGGCACCCGCCAUCAUGCCCGGCUAAUUUUUGUAUUUUUAGUAGAGAUGGGGUUUCACCAUGUUGGCCGGGAUGGUCUUGAUCUCUUGACCUCGUGAUCCGCCCACCUCAGCCUCCUAAAGUGCUGAGAUUACAGACGUGAGCCACUGCGCCCAGCCGCAAGCAUCAACUUGUAAUGCUGUCCAUGUGAUUUCAAUGGGAGCCAAUUAGUAAGCUUUGAAUGGGUUACAGCUGUGUCCAGUUAAGCCUUGUUAACUCCUCGAGCACUUGGGCAAGACCAAAGCAGGUAAAGCCUGCAGUCUUCACCUCUUGCCACAAGUGGACUCCACCAAUGAGCUGCGGAAAGAACAUUUCCUACGUACCAUGCCAUGAAGAAAGUUGGGGAGCACUGAAGUGCCUGAUUUCAAUCUUAUAAUAAUACUGUAAGGUUCGGGUUGAGAAUUCAGUUCUAGUGAAGCUCUUCACUACACAGCGAUUGAGAAAUCAAGGCUGUUGGCUGCUUGGACAUCUUUAAUGUGCGGCUUCCAGGACAGCAGUUCCCUUCUCAUUUGGGAUCGUUUUUGCCUGUAUAGAGUCUCAAUCUGUUGCCCAGGCUGAGGUGCAGUGGUGCGAUCACAGCUCACUGUAGCCUUGAACUCCCAGGCUCAAGCGAUCCUCCCACCUAGGCCUUCUGAGUAAUUGAGACCAUAGAGGGUCUAAAGAGGAGCUACUUUGUCACUCAUCACUCGCUUGAAUAUUCAUCAGCAACAGAAGAGGAAGCUGAUCUGGGGGGUGCCGGUGGUUGUCUACCAUUCGUUCUAGGGACCUGUCUGCGCAAUUGGACUUCCUGCCAUGUCUCAUGGUGCCUCCCUGAUGUCUCCUCACCUGCAACUCCAAAUCCCAGCCACUCUCCGUCUGCAUCCCUCAGCUACAUAGUUCCCUUUCUGGUCCUCUGCAUGAUGAGAUGGGGGAACUGAGGCCCUACGAAGUUAAAUGAUCUGCCAAGUUAUCCCUGAAAAACAUUAAGGCCCUCAAGUUUCCUAGGUUUAGGACUGAACAACUCCGGGAAUCUGAAAGAUGAUGCAAAUAAAGAGGAAGACGGACAUAAUCUCGAAGGGAGAGAAAGGAGCUGGGAAUGGGGGAUCAUAUUCUAAUAGCUCAUCAUCACCACAUGAAACAUACAAUGCAGAGGUAAGUUCAUGGCUCUGUAAGGUUAAACAAUUCUCAGGAGGCUCACGUAUUAGGAAGGAUGUUGGAAAGUGUAUGGCCAGUGACAUUUCAUUUUUGUCAGUUUUAGUGCUUGAUAUUUUAAAGAAUUACGAACUCUUCAAGGGGUGAAGGGAAAGUAUAAAACAAGACAGAAGAUUUCCUUUCUUCCAUGAGGAUAUAAUUCUAGUGGGAGAACCAAUAAGCAAACCAGCAGAAGAAUCUUAGACUGGGAGACGUGCUAAGCUGAGAACUGGGGCAGCCGGUGCCUGGGGAGCUACACUGGAACUGUGAUUGUGAAACCAAUUCAAAGAGGUAGCAUUUACAGUGAGACCUGAAUGACAAGAAGGAGCCAGAUGUGCAGUGAUUCUCCAGGAAGGAGUUCCAGGUAUCGAGAACAGCUGGCAUAAAUGUUUGAAGGUGGGUAUAGCAGCACUAUUCACAAUAGCCAGAAGGUGGAAACAACCCUAACGUCCAUCAGCAGUUGAAUGGAUAAACAAAAUGUGGUAUAUCCAUGCUAUGGAAUAUUAUUCAGCCUUAAAAACAAAUGAAGGACUGAUACAUGAUAAUGUCAGGCCUCCGAGCCCAAGCCAAGCCAUCUCAUCCCCUGUGACUUGCACGUAUACAUCCAGAUGGCCUGAAGUAACUGAAGAUCCACAAAAGAAGUAAAAAUAGCCUGAACUGAUGACAUUCCACCAUUGUGAUUUGUUCCUGCCCCACCCUAACUGAUCAAUGUAGUUUGUAAUCUUCCCACCCUUAAGAAGGUUCUUUGUAAUUCUCCCCACCCUUGAGAAUGUACUUUGUGAGAUCCACCCCUGCCCACAAAACAUUGCUCUUAACUUCACCGCCCAUCCCAAAACCUGUAAGAACUAAUGAUAAUCCAUCUCCCUUCGCUGACUCUUUUCGGACUCAGCCCACCUGCACCCAGGUGAAAUAAACAGCCAUGCUGCUCACACAAAACCUGUUUGGUGGUCUCUUCACACGGACACACAUGAAACUAUGACUUGGAUGAACCUUGAAAACAUUAGGUUAAGUGAAAGAAGCCAGUCACAAAAGAAGCCAGUCACAUACAUAUUGUGUGAUUCCUUUUAUAUGAACUAUCUGGAAUAGAUUAGUCCAUAGAGACAGA